ACCUACAGCCAUACCACCCUGAGAACACCUGAUCUUGUCUGAUCUCAGAAGCUGAGCAGGGUCAGGUCUGAUUAGCACUUGAAUUGGAGACUACCGGGAAUACCACUGUAUAGA
rnacentral:rRNA from 1 species